AGUGAACGCUGGCGGUAGGCCUAACACAUGCAAGUCGAACGGCAGCACAGUAAGAGCUUGCUCUUACGGGUGGCGAGUGGCGGACGGGUGAGGAAUACAUCGGAAUCUACUUUUUCGUGGGGGAUGACGUAGGGAAACUUACGCUAAUACCGCAUACGACCUACGGGUGAAAGCAGGGGAUCCUCGGACCUUGCGCGAUUGAAUGAGCCGAUGUCGGAUUAGCUAGUUGGCGGGGUAAAGGCCCACCAAGGCGACGAUCCGUAGCUGGUCUGAGAGGAUGAUCAGCCACACUGGAACUGAGACACGGUCCAGACUCCUACGGGAGGCAGCAGUGGGGAAUAUUGGACAAUGGGCGCAAGCCUGAUCCAGCCAUACCGCGUGGGUGAAGAAGGCCUUCGGGUUGUAAAGCCCUUUUGUUGGGAAAGAAAAGCAGCAGGUUAAUACCCCGCUGUUCUGACGGUACCCAAAGAAUAAGCACCGGCUAACUUCGUG
rnacentral:rRNA from 1 species